rfam:Triticum aestivum genome assembly, contig: Triticum_aestivum_CS42_TGACv1_scaffold_436707_5DL
CAUAUACUCCCUCUGUCCGAAAAUACUUGUCGCAGAAAUGCAUAAAAAUGGAUGUAUCUAGAAUUAAACUACGUUUAGAUACAUCCAUUCCUCCGGCAAAUAUUUUCGGACUGAGGGAGUACUUA